rnacentral:rRNA from 1 species
GUCUACGGCCAUGCCACCCUGAAUGUGCCCGAUCCCGUCUGAUCUUGGAAGCUCAGCAGGGUCAGGCCUGGUUCGUACUUGGAUGGGAGACCACCUUGGAAUAUCAGAUGCUGUGGGCG